ACGUUUUAUUUAACAGCCUAGACAAAUUCCUCUAUUCCAUUUGUUUCCUAUGACCAAACAAAAUGCCCCUUUAACUUGUCCAGUCUGUGACAGCAGAGUUAAUGACCACCAGCCUUUCACAUGAGGCCCAGGAGAGAGACCCUCCUCUCAUCCUUGAAGUGUGCUGAUCAGGCAGUGUAGACAAAUUCAGAGACUCCACCAUUCAAUGAGAUAAUUUCACAAGUCACCAGUUAUCUAUCAGGGAAUUUCCACAGACAACGUACAAAAUAAAAACCUGACAAAGGUCAAGGCAUGGUGAGAGAGAUAAGAGAGAGGAAAAAGGAAAAAAACAAAAAGGAAAAAGUGCCCAAUGCCACCUCUGUCCCUGAAAUCUAGUCAAUAAAAUGCAUACAGUGUGCCCAGGGGAGAACAGGGAAGCUGCAGCCUAGGUUUUCUCAUCAAAUAGCUACAAAGCCAUUUCCACAAGGAAAAAACUCAGGGAGGAAACGCACAUUUACUGAACUCCUGCUCUUGCCAGCACCACGCUGGGCUGUAUGCCGUGCUUCUCCGUUAGCAGCCAGCCGAGAGCCCUGGCAAUGAGCAUGCACUUUGGAGGCCAGAAUACCUGGGUUCAAAUCCUAGUCCCACCACCCCUGACUGUGUGCCCCUGACUGUGUGCCCGUGAUGGGUCACCUCCUCUUCCAAUUCUCAGAGUCCUCUCCCGGGGGGGUAUGGUGAAGUGUCAGUGGGGGAUUUACAUGAAACCCACACAGAGCUUGUGAUGUCACAGAAGAUUCCCAGUGGUGGUGAUAUUUUUUAGUGCGCUAAGUACUGUAAACAUCUUGUGCGUGUUAUCUGUUUUGUACCUUCUACACUGCCAGGAAGAGCAGCAUCUGGUAGGAAAACAGAUCCCAACACAGGAGUUUGAACAUGGUAAAUGAUCAUCAAAUGUUCAGACCAAUAGAUGCACCCAGUGCUUUAACACAUUGUCUGCAUAAUCAUCAGUAUCCCCAUUUUAGAGAUGAGGAAACCUGAACAGAGAAGCCUACAGCUUUAGAAUCCAGGAAAGAGGACAUUUGGGGACCUGUUUAUGGAAGGCUGAUAUAUUUGCUUUGCAUACAGAGUUGAGAGGAUGCUGAUAUUAGGAAACUCAGGUGGAGAGAAAAAAAAUCAUGACGAAACUGGCUGCUAACUGAAGCAAAGCCACAGCCAAUUUAGCAAAAGGAACACAAAUUCUCAAACGGGGAAGGAGCCAAAGGUGCUGGGACUGUAAAGGAAGAAAAAAUAAAUCCAUUUAUGCAUGCUCAGAGAAUAAAGCAGCUUUUAAGCAUA
rnacentral:lncRNA from 1 species